rnacentral:rRNA from 1 species
CCUGGUGGCCAUGUCGGCGGGGAUCCACCCGUUCCCAUUCCGAACACGGAAGUUAAGCCCGCCAGAGCCGACAAUACCUGGGGCACAAGCCCCCGGAAAGAUAGGACGCUGCCAGGA